rnacentral:lncRNA from 1 species
GAUGGAUUCCAUGUGAGGGGGAAAGUAUUGAUAGAAGGAGGCUCUGCAAAGGAAAGCAAGCAGGGAAGGAGCAGGUCAUUAAAGGAUUCAGAUGGGCUGGCUUGGAGGACUUUCUGAACUCUCCUAGAUACCGGACUCAUUCAUUUGACAGCUAAUGCCUGGUUAUAACUGACUCUGUAAAGUGUACUCCCAUGUGUUGACUCAUUGGAUCUAAUGACCACUGUCUGGAGUCAGUGGAGACUGGUAUGAUUAUGAUCAUCCGUGUUUAGAGACAGAAAAGCAAGGGCCACUCAGAAGUGCCUCAUGCAGGGUCACCCAGCUUCCAAGGCUUGGGGUUGAGAUUUGAACCCAUGUCUAUCUAUCUUCGAAUCCUGUGUUUAUUACAUCAAGAUGCCAACUCCCAGUGUCCUCCUAUUACCUUGUAGCAAGGGUAGACAACAUCCUCCUACCUUUAUCACAUGCAGACUGGCCAGAUUUUGGUGGAAAUGUAGACAUUUUCAGGGAAAACCAGAUGCUCUGGUUGCCUAUCCCCACUGUGAGCAGGAAAAUAGCUCAGUAUUCACAGGGUCACCAGGAGAAUGCCUAGCAUUAACUUAAAGUAGUCCUCUAGGCUCUCUCCUUCCACAGGCCCACAUCUUGGGGCCUGAUGUACUCUGAGGUCCACCUGGAUCUUGAUGCCUCCACUUCCGCUUGGUGACUCCACUCCAGGACUUUUUGGUGACUCAUGCAGAGGGAAAAUACAUGGCCUUACAGAGCCAGGCAGAGCCACUGGAGUCCUGAUGAAGGCUCUCUUAACCAGAUGACCUUGAGCAAAUUGCUGAGCCCUCCAGGCCUGGGUUCCCUCAUUUGUUAAAAUGAUGACAACCAACUACACCAAACAAAACUUACAGCUUUGUUAUGAGAAUUGAAUGAAUUAACCCAUGUGAAGCCACCUCAUUCUAAGGAGAUAUUCAAUAAAUGCCCUUUUUCACCGCAUAGGAGUGGGAAACUUUGUGGCAAGAAGAAAGGUUAUGGGAAUGAUAAUCACUGAGCACUUAAAACAUACCCAUUAUUAUGCUCAAUUCUUUACUCAAAAUGUGCUAUCUCAAUUAAUCCUCCCAGCACUCCUAUGACGCAGGUAGUAUGCAUCCUCCAAUUUGCAGAUUAAAAAACUGAUACCUCAAGAUGUUAGAUUCCUUGUCCAAGGCCAACGUGAUCAGGAAUCUGAUGCGGAGCUCAAGUACUGAACAUCUAAGAUGCCCUGCAACAAAUCCUGCUCUCCUGUCGUGAUUGGAGCAUCCCUGCCUGAAAUGCACUCUCAUUCCAUGUUUAGAUUUUUGAUUCAAAGAAGCAAGAGCCUCCUGUAGGGAGAUUCCCAUCUCUCAUGCUAGGCCACUCCCUCUCCUAAGCGCUCAGAAACUGUGCUUAUGUUUAACCCUUAGGCUUUCCAUGUAGUGUUAUACAUACGUAUGCAUGUCUCCUACCCUAGGCGAUGCUCUUUGAGGGCAUAGACAGAAUCUUAUUUUCUUUCUGUUUCCUCCCCACAUAACUAUUACCCACAGCACUUUGUAUGCAGUAGACUUUUCAUAAAUAUCUGCUGACUUGGAGUGUGUGUGAGGCAGGGUGAACAGGGAGCAUGAGAGAGCUGGAUUGGAAUUCCUCCUCCCACGGACUGUGGCUCUGGGCAAAUUACUCAACCUCUGUGGUUCUCCCUCAGUUUCCUCACUCUAAAAGGGGGUGAUAGCAUUUGCUGUCAAGGGGUUAUUAUGAGGAAAUGAAGUGAAAAAAUGCAGGCAAAGCAUUUACAUAGUGCCUGGCACAUAUUCCACACUCCAUCAGUGAUAUGUAUUCUAGUAGCUGCAGGGUGGUGCCUGGACAAGGUGGAUGGUCAUAAUGAGGAAGGAAAGAGCCCCAGGAGGCAUGAGAAACAAGGGCCUACUAAAGACCACACUUCCAAGGGGAUGGAACAGAGAUAGAUAAAAAGG